UACGUAGGUGGCAAGCGUUGUCCGGAUUUACUGGGUGUAAAGGGCGUGCAGCCGGAGAGACAAGUCAGAUGUGAAAUCCACGGGCUCAACCCGUGAACUGCAUUUGAAACUGUUUCCCUUGAGUGUCGGAGAGGUAAUCGGAAUUCCUUGUAUAGCGGUGAAAUGCGUAGAUAUAAGGAAGAACACCAGUGGCGAAGGCGGAUUACUGGACGAUAACUGACGGUGAGGCGCGAAAGCGUGGGGAGCAAACAGG
rnacentral:rRNA from 1 species